AUGUCUGAAUGCUGGGAAGAUAUCUUCCCUCUAGUCUUUGUGAGGAAAUUGGUUCGGGAGAUUUCUGACCAUAAUCCGCUGCUGUUGUCCUCCGGGGAAGAAGGGCGUGAAGCCCCGAAACCGCGUGAAUUUCGUUUUAAUCUGUCCUGGAUCAAUGAUGAAAAGUUCCUGCCCACUGUGGGGAAAAUUUGGGCUAGGAAAGUGGCUUCAUCUGAUCCUAUUGAUGUCCUGAAUAUCAAGUUACAAAGAUUCAAAACUUACUUUAAAGGCUGGGGUUCAGAUAAAUAUGGCCACGAUAAAAAGAGAAAAGAGGACUUACGUAUGGAAUUAGCUAUGCUGGAGGAACUAGAAGAAGAAGAUAUGUUACCUCCUGACUUAUAUAGUAGAAAAGUGGAUAUCAACGCUGAGCUCUAUGAGCUCCUAGUGAAUGAGGAAAUCUUUUGGCUUCAACAGUCUCGUGAGCGCUGGCUUCUUAAAGGAGACUUGAAUACUGACUAUUAUCACAAAAUUGCUAAUGGUCGGAAACGUAAAAAUACUAUCCAAUCACUUAGAACGGGAGAAACAGUGAUUGAAGGCACGAACAAUCUGAUUGCACAUGCAACUGAGUUUUACAAAAAUCUAUUCGGACCAGCCCCUGGUAACUAG
rnacentral:rRNA from 1 species